GUAACAAUUGUCUAAAACUGUCAAACAAAAUACAGUUAAAAAUUGAAAAAAAAACUACAUUUCAACAAUAAUGGCUUUAAAAACGCAGAAGGCAGUAACACACUGCUAUCACUGCCAGGACUGCAGCUAUUGUCCCCACUGACAUCAGCAACCACAGCCUCCAGCCUGCAGAGAGAGCAGAGUGGAGGGGGAAGGGAGAGACAGAGAGGGAGAGAGAGAUGUCACGUCCAGUAGACACUAUCUGUAUCAGAGCGGCUCCAGCGCUCUCUGUACCCCGACACUACGCCUCAGGCAUCCACACACAAGCACAGAGAGGGUGGAGAGGCAGUGACUGUGUGUUACCUGAGAUGGCAGUAUCUGAGGAGUUGCUCUGACCAUCACUCAUCUCUGCAGACAAAAAGGAGGGGUGCUGCCGCCUGCUCACCGAGGUCCACCUGGGUGCCGUUGCUGCAGUGCCAGGCAAGACUGGGGAUCUCCAUCACCACGACGCACACG